rnacentral:rRNA from 1 species
GACGAACGCUGGCGGCGCGCUUAACACGUGCAAGUCGAGCGAUGAAAUUUCGACAGAUCCCUUCGGGGUGAAGAUGAAAUGGAUUAGCGGCGGACGGGUGAGUAACACGUGAGUAACCUGCCUUUGACAUUGGGAUAGCCUCGGGAAACUGGGAUUAAUACCAAAUGACACUAACUGAUCACAUGAUCAAUUAGUCAAAGAAAUUCGGUCAAAGAUGGACUCGCGGCUGAUUAGCUAGUUGGUGAGGUAACGGCCCACCAAGGCGACGAUCAGUAGCCGGCCUGAGAGGGUGAUCGGCCACAUUGGAACUGAGACACGGUCCAAACUCCUACGGGAGGCAGCAGUGGGGAAUAUUGCACAAUGGGGGAAACCCUGAUGCAGCGACGCCGCGUGAGCGAAGAAGGCCUUCGGGUCGUAAAGCUCUUUUAUGAGGGAAGAUAAUGACGGUACCUCAAGAAAAAGCCCCGGCUAACUACGUG